rnacentral:rRNA from 1 species
UGCGUAGGUGGUGAGGUAAGUCGGAUGUGAAAGCUCGGAGCUCAACUCCGAAAUGGCAUUGGAAACUACCUUGCUCGAGGGUUGGAGGGGGGACUGGAAUUCUCGGUGUAGCAGUGAAAUGCGUAGAUAUCGAGAGGAACACCAGUGGCGAAGGCGAGUCCCUGGACAACUCCUGACACUGAGGCACGAAAGCUGGGAGCAAACA